GUGGAUUAUGGUCCUUGUACAAGUUGAUGUGGACAAGUUGAUGUGGAAGGGAGAUGCAUAAAGGCCCUAAUAUAUGUGUUAAAAUCUUUAGUACACAAUGAGUUGAGAUAUGCGCUGAGUCAACUUAUCCGAGGCUCAUGAAAUGCAUGUCAAAUUUUAGUUUCAUUCGAGUAAAGGCGAAUCAGGGGAUUGCCUGGUGCAUAUUAUAUUCUUUCGUGUAUUUGAAGGACGAGAAAUAAAUAGCUUUGGUGAGCUGUUUGUGUUCUAAUUUCUAAAUGAAGUGAGGGUGGUAUGUUCAUGAGUUGGACCUGAAGUUGUGGAUGUUGGACUGCAAAAACAGGUUGACUGGGCUAGUGCCUGGUUGAGUCAUGCUAAAUUGUACAGAGUCGGUUGAGUUUUUUAGCAGUAUUGACACGACUCAUCAAGUCAUGACUGAGUCAUGCUGGCCAGUGAGUUUCUGUGAAACCUGGCUCUUGGAAUCUCUUUGAACCGAGUCGACUCAACAUGGUUGAGUUGACCCACCAAGUUUUAGUACUAUGAUCUCUAGAUGGAUGGCUCUGAUUGAUGCAUCACUUACUGAGUGUGCCAUGGAUGGAAAGAGCAGUGUAUGUUCUUUUGACAAAUUUUUUUCUCCACAUGGAGUGCCCGAUGCACACAGAACAAGGAAACACCUAGGUAGAGAAGCAAAGAAAAACCACCAGCAUCUAGAUCUAUAAAAUACUCUAGUUGUGGUUAGAUAUUUUAGCCCCCACAAUUAGGUUUUGAGGUUCUUAUAUUCAAAGGAUGUGGGGGAAUCUCUUUUAAAUUAAGGUUAGGGUUAUAUUAGGAAAGUGAAAAUGUGGCUGCUGCUCAAGGGCCAACUCUGAUUUCACCCGGAAUUGCCAACCAAUGGCUCUGUUUUCACUGACGAAAGCCAACAUAGGCUUACGUUUUACCCACAAGCAACCUCUCCACUCUAGUUUUUUCUUGUACCCUGGUGGUCCUUUUGACUAUUAGUAGUUCACUACUUGGGAAAUAAUUCAAAUCAUAAAUGAAUGUUCCCUCUUUUUUUUUCUUUUUCUUUUCCUGCUACCAUUUAUUUUGUAUAUUCAUGCCUAUUCCUUAUUUUGGAGCUAAUUUGUUCAAUCUCCAUUCGAUAAAUGGUUGUCAUGGCUUUUCGUGGAAUGCAUGUGUCAUAUCAUUAUUCAGGAUUGUCCCAACUAUUUGGCGUUGGCUAUUGAAUGCAUCUGUUUCUUUGUGCCUGUGGUGGUGAGCAUCUUCUUUGUUGCAUCUCAUAUAUGAUGAGUGAACUGUGACAUUUUGUUUGAAGCUCAACUUUAGGGAACUAUUCAGGACCACCUACAAAUAUUCAACAUUAAGAUGAAGGCAAAAAUGAAAUCACAUCAGAUGCCUGAGCAGGUUGUGUUUUGGAAGUGGAUUACGCCAAAGAUGUUGGGGCUGGUCACACAAACAUCAGUGUAUCAUUUGUCAAUAGAAGGUAGUAUUACAUUUUUCUUUUCGUACAAGGGUUCUUUUGAACUACAUUCAGUUUCUCGCUUUUCUUUUUUGAUAGAUCAAUUUAUAUUUCAGUUAGGAACUUCCAUUACAUUGUUGAAUUGCUGGCUUUAAAAUUUACAAAACUUAUUUGUAGGUGAUUCAGAGUGUAUAAAGAUUUGUUUCAGAUAUUUUGAUAUGUAACCAUGUGCUAAUA